CAAAAAAAUUGUUUGAUUGCGAGAUAAGACAUUGUUUGUUGUAUGACUUUUCUGUUCUUAAAAACACUCUCCAAUCUAUAUUGUACGUACAUUGGUACAAACCAUGUUGACAAAUACUUCUUGGAGUCACAACUGGUGUACGGUCACCCGGGUGAGAAAUGUUAUCUCCGCCAGGUACACACUGACUUGUCUACGUACACUCUGCCAACAGAAGACUGAAUUCCCUUGGAUGUUGAACAGUCAGCUGUGUGAGAAUGACGUUCUCCUCAACAUUCCCUAUUCCAUAUUCUUCUACAAUUUCAUCGUUCCACUUGUUGUAAUCAUAAUCUUCGCCACUACUUUCACUACCAUCAAUAGUAGGAUCGAUGGUACUUCCCCCAUAGAUCCAUCGUCACCCUGAUAAUCAUCAUACCCAUCACCAUCUUCGUUGUCCUCUCAUCUUCAUCCUCAUCUGUUUUAUCGUCUUCAAUGUCGUCUUGCUAAUCUACGGUCUCAUUAUUUUCAUCAACAUUAAAACACUAUCACACACACAGUCACUUUCAGCAUCGUCACCAUGAGUCCUAGAGACAUUAUUUCCGAGUGUAUUGACGGUUGUAAUGAAAGAGACAAACAAGUUGAGAGAAGGAUACCCACCACGAAUAAAAAAAAUCGUAUCCCACCCUCACUUGACUGUCAAUGUAGACAGGAGGGCGUUUAGUAUCUACAUAACUAACAUCACUCCCGGUAUCCAGUAACUAAUCAUGGGAUUGAUCUCUAUGGACUUCAAACUGAAAGUCUCGCUUAGUGUACAUACAAAUUCCGUGUACGUCAUGUUUUCCUUAACACGUACACAACGACCAAACAUGUCUUCCUCUGGUUCAAAUUUCCAUUUUUCUUCUUUGCAUCUCCACUCACCGACCAUAGUAAAUACGAGAUUAUCCAUUACCCAACUGUAUCAUAAAUUCAGGAGAAACCCAAUAAAUGCAACUGAAAAUAUGAUUAUAUCGACAAAAACAAAUAGAAUUUCGUUAUACACACUUAUAAACAUAAAUAUCUAUACAUUUACCAUUUUCAACCAACAAAAUUAGAAAUAAA
rnacentral:sRNA from 1 species